UACGUAGGGGGCUAGCGUUGUCCGGAAUCAUUGGGCGUAAAGCGCGCGUAGGCGGCCAGAUAAGUCCGGUGUGAAAGCCACAGGCUCAACCUGUGAAUGCCGCUGGAAACUGUCUGGCUAGAGUCCGGGAGGGGCGAGUGGAAUUCCUGGUGUAGCGGUGAAAUUCGUAGAUAUCAGGAGGAACACCAAUAGCGAAGGCAGCUUGCUGGGACGGUACUGACGCUAAGGCGCGAAAGCGUGGGGAGCGAACAGG
rnacentral:rRNA from 1 species